UAAAUGUUUGAGAUAUGGGAUGAUGUUUCUUUUGCCUUGUAGGUUGUGGAAGUUGGAUAUUUGAAGGUGUGUUAGAUGUAAGAUGAUGUGUAGGUUUCCUUGUAGAGUGGGGUUGUUGGGUAUUUGUAGGUAUUUGAGAAGUGGGAGCAUGGACAGUAGACAUUUGUGGACUUGAAGUAGAGAGGAAAGGUGGGAAGUUUGUAUGUGUUUGAGAUAUGGGAUGAUGUGUAGGUUGCUUUGUAUAUAUGGAUUGUUGGAUAUUUGAAGGUGUUUUAGAUGUAAGAUGAUGUGUAGGUUUCAUUGUAGAGUGGGGUUGUUGGAUAUUUGUAGGUAUUUGAGAAGUGGGAGCAUGGACAGUAGACAUUUGUGGACUUGAAGUAGAGAGGAAAGGUGGGAAGUUAGUAUGUGUUUGAGAUAUGGGAUGAUGUGUAGGUUGCUUUGUAGAUAGGGAUUGUUGGGUGUCUGCAGGCCUAGGUGCUUGUAAUCUAGAAGAAUGUGACAAAGUAGUUUUAUGCUUACCUCCCUUAUUUCCCUUAACUUUGUUGAUGCUUAUACCAGCACCUCUUCCAUUGCUCCUUGUAAUAUCAUUGUCUUCCAUCUAUCUAUAUACAUAUAAAACUAGGUAAUUAACUACUGUACAUAAAAAAAAAGAAGUUAAAAGGCGCACAAAAUUAGACAUGGGCAUAAACAAGUUAAAAGGCACACAAAAUUAAAACAUAAGCACAAUUAGCAUUUUCCAUUAAUAUGCAUAAGAAUCACACAUAAGGAUUUGUUGAAAAAAUUUAACAUAACAAUAGAAAAAAGACUAGUC
rnacentral:lncRNA from 1 species